UAGCUUUCUUAUUGGUUGUGUGCGAAAUUAUACAUGCAAGGCUCCCCAAUCCAGUGAGAAUGUCCUUAAAAUCUCUCAAGAUCAAAAGGAACAGGUAUCAGGUGCACUCACCAGUAGCCCACAACACCUUGUAAAACCACACCCCCACGGGACACAGCAGUAAUUAAACUUAAGCAAUAAACGAAAGUUUGACUAAGUUACGCAACACACCAGGGUUGGUAAAUCUCGUGCCAGCCACCGCGGUCAUACGAUUAACCCGAACUAAUAAACCUCCGGCGUAUAGAGUGUUUUAGAACAAUAAACAAUAAGAUUAAACUUUAUUUAAGUUGUAAAAGACUCUAAAUAAAAGUAAACCCAACAAACGAAGUAAUCUUAACCCAUCUGAACACACGAAAGCUACGACCCAAACUGGGAUUAGAUACCCCACUAUGCUUAGCCAUAAACAUAAAAACUCCACAACAAAAGUUUUCGCCAGAGAACUACUAGCAACAGCUUAAAACUCAAAGGACUUGGCGGUGCUUUAUAUCCACCUAGAGGGGCCUGUUCUAUAAUCGAUAAACCCCGAUCAACCUUACCACUUCUUGCUAAUACAGCCUAUAUACCGCCAUCUUCAGCAAACCCCUACAUGGAACAAAAAGUAAGCACAAUAAUCCCCAUAAAAACGUUAGGUCAAGGUGUAGCCCAUGAAGUGGAAAGAAAUGGGCCACAUUUUCUUACCAAGAAAAUUAAUUAACGACAGUCACUAUGAAACUUAGAGAUCUAAGGAGGAUUUAGCAGUAAAUUAAGAAUAGAGAGCUUAGUUGAACCAGGCCAUGAAGCACGUACACACCGCCCGUCACCCUCCUCAAAUACCUCAACUGGUGAACACAAACCACCAAACACCGUACAAGAGGAGACAAGUCGUAACAAGGUAAGCGUACUGGAAAGUGUGCUUGGAAGAA
rnacentral:ncRNA from 1 species